rnacentral:rRNA from 1 species
UGUGGAUUUUUCCGCAAUGGGCGAAAGCCUGACGGAGCAAUACCGCGUGAGGGAGGAAGGCUCUUGGGUUGUAAACCUCUUUUCUCAGGGAAGAAAAAAAUGACGGUACCUGAGGAAUAAGCAUCGGCUAACUCCGUGCCAGCAGCCGCGGUAAUACGGAGGAUGCAAGCGUUAUCCGGAAUGAUUGGGCGUAAAGCGUCCGCAGGUGGCUGUGUAAGUCUGCUGUUAAAGAGUCUGGCUCAACCAGAUAAAGGCAGUGGAAACUACACGGCUAGAGUGCGUUCGGGGCAGAGGGAAUUCCUGGUGUAGCGGUGAAAUGCGUAGAGAUCAGGAAGAACACCGGUGGCGAAAGCGCUCUGCUAGGCCGCAACUGACACUGAGGGACGAAAGCUAGGGGAGCGAAUGGGAUUAGAUACCCCAGUAGUC